rnacentral:rRNA from 1 species
AUUGAACGCUGGCGGCAGGCUUAACACAUGCAAGUCGAGCGGAGAUGAGGUGCUUGCACCUUAUCUUAGCGGCGGACGGGUGAGUAAUGCUUAGGAAUCUGCCUAUUAGUGGGGGACAACAUUCCGAAAGGAAUGCUAAUACCGCAUACGUCCUACGGGAGAAAGCAGGGGAUCUUCGGACCUUGCGCUAAUAGAUGAGCCUAUGUCGGAUUAGCUAGUUGGUGGGGUAAAGGCCUACCAAGGCGACGAUCUGUAGCGGGUCUGAGAGGAUGAUCCGCCACACUGGGACUGAGACACGGCCCAGACUCCUACGGGAGGCAGCAGUGGGGAAUAUUGGACAAUGGGGGGAACCCUGAUCCAGCCAUGCCGCGUGUGUGAAGAAGGCCUUAUGGUUGUAAAGCACUUUAAGCGAGGAGGAGGCUACUGAGACUAAUACUCUUGGAUAGUGGACGUUACUCGCAGAAUAAGCACCGGCUAACUCUGUGCCAGCCGCCACGGUAAAAC